rnacentral:rRNA from 1 species
UACGUAGGGUGCAAGCGUUGUCCGGAAUUAUUGGGCGUAAAGAGUUCGUAGGCGGUCUGUCGCGUCUGCUGUGAAAUCUCAGGGCUUAACCCUGAGCUUGCAGUGGGUACGGGCAGACUAGAGUGCGGUAGGGGAGACUGGAAUUCCUGGUGUAGCGGUGAAAUGCGCAGAUAUCAGGAGGAACACCGGUGGCGAAGGCGGGUCUCUGGGCCGUAACUGACGCUGAGGAGCGAAAGCAUGGGGAGCGAACAGG